AGCAAAUAAGUGCGCCACCUUUGCCGCGGGUUUAGGCCAAGAUCGAUGGAGCUGCUGCCCUGGGGCUUACCAAAUUAUUUAGUUGCGGCAUCCCUGUGCUAAUUGCCUGACGGUAAAGUGCAACGGCAGCAAACCAUCAAUCCCGAGAGUUCCAAGCCGAUGAGCCAUUCCAUACCAUACCAGAGCAGACCAGACCAGACCAGAGACCAUACCAUAGUUGGGGUAAUUUCUGGCCAAGCCACCGCCGGGCACAAAGUAUACAGAGUGCCAGCGAUCGAUCCAAGAACCAAGUCAUGGGAAAAUUUCCGUACACACACAAUUUGGGGCUUGGCUUACGGGCGGAGGAAGAAAAAACUCAGUUUCGCACGCAAAUUAAGAUAAUCGAAAGCAAAUGCAGCAACGGUAGCCGCUCUCCAUGGUUAAGCUCAGACUAAAAAAAAAACCAAAAACAAAAAAAAGGAAACCUAAAGAAGAAAAUCAGCAGAAAGAAACGGGUUUAGUACCCGGUAGCAACAAAUCAUAAAAAUAUGAAAAAUUAUGCGGCGGCGUCGGAGGAGAUUCGCAACUCUCAACUCGCAGCUCCCGCAAAUGACGAUGUCCAAGAGCCAAUCAUCGAAGUGUGCUUUUGGCAGUCCAUCAUUAAAUUGUGGCUAAGAUUCCAAUCAAACAUACAAGAGCAUCGGCAUCGAACGGCAGACGGUAGCAGCUUGAUUUCAUUUCUUCUGAGGCAAUGAAAUCUCAGCUGCGGUCGCUCUGUGGCUUAUUUUCGGUGUGGUUUGCUCCAGAGUGGUGCCGCAUUCGCAUUGUGGGGCAGAGUGGUGUGGCAUGGCGCGGUGGUGGUGGUGUGGCUCGCAUUUUUGAAAUAUAUGCGUC
ensembl:ncRNA lncRNA:CR44319 long non-coding RNA:CR44319